AUCUGCUAUGAUUAAAUGGGCACAAGAUGUUGGACAUAACAUCAUGUUUGCUGACUGGGAACAGUUAUGGACCACAGGUAUGAAGUUUACGGCAUGUAAUGCCCUAAGAGAGAAUAUUAUGAAAAUGAUAUACAGGUGGUACAUAACCCCAGUCAAGCUUGCAAAAAUCUACCAUCUGCCCGAUAAUAAAUGUUGGAAAUGUAAAGAAACUGAAGGUACAUUCUUUCACCUUUGGUGGACAUGCCCAAGGAUUAAGGUUUUCUGGGAG